CCUUAGACAACGGAUGUCUUGGCUCUUUACACGAUGAAGAACGUUGCAUAAUGUGAUAAGCGGCUAGAAUUGCUUAAUUUGUGAUAAGUUCGAUCUUUGAAUGCACAUUGCG
rnacentral:rRNA from 1 species